GUCAAAAUGGGCCAAUCAGCUCUCUGUAAAAUGGACCAAUCAGCAGGAUGUGGGAGGGGUCAGAUAAGGGAGUAAAAGCAGGCUGCCCCAGCAAGCAGUGGUAACUCGGUCGGUUCUCUUGGACGCUGUGGGAAGUUUGUUGUUUUGCCGUUUGCAGUGAAUCUUGCUGCUCACUCUUUGGGUGCAUGGUGCCUUUAUGAGCUGUUACACUCACAGGAAGGUUUGCAGCUUCGUUCCUAAAACUAGCCAGAUGGCGAACCCACUGGGAGGGACAAACAAAUCCAGAUGGGAGGAACAAAUAACUCCAGACGCGCCGUGUUUGUGAAGUGUAACACUUUGAAGGUCUACAGCUUCACUUCCUAAGGCUAACAAGACUACGAAUCCACCGGAAGGAACGAACAACUCCAGACACAGCAUCUUUAAGAACUGUAACACUCAGCGCGAGGGUCUGCAGCUUCAUUCUUGAAGUCAGCGAGACCAGGAACCCACGAAUUCUGGACACCGUACAGCCAACAAAAACCUAGCUGAGUUACUCACCUAAAACCUGACUUGACAUCCUAGAUUGGCUAGGACUAAAAAGUCUCAUUGAAUUACUGGAAACUUAUUCCUAUGAAAGUAAUGCAUGCUCACGUUUAAAGAGUAAAAUUUGACAAAAAGCACUGUAGUAAAAAGCAACAAUCUCCUAACCAUGUUCCGUUCUGCAUCUUUUCCCUAUCUUUCCAGGUCUUGUUUUACCAGAGAAAUAAUUGCAUGGCUUCUGUCUUGUGUUUGUCAGGUGCCUGGAGAGAGUGUGGAUGAAACAGGAGAACCCACCGUCUGCCGGGGACAGCAGGUUUGAAUAACCAAGAGCACCCUCUUUAAGAAACGACCUGGUUAUUUGUUUUUAAUUUGUAAUGGAGACAAGGUUUCACUGUGUUGCCCAGGCUGG
rnacentral:lncRNA from 1 species